CGGAAGGAGCGAGCAUUAUUCAUAAUGAUUUGGCGUAAAGCGUUUGUAGGUUGUUUUUUAGUUGAAAAAAAAGCCAAAAGCUUAACUUUUGUAAUUUUUUCAAAACGUAAAAACUUGAGUAUUGAUAGAGGGUAAUGGAACUUCUAUUGUAGGGAUAAAAUCCGUUAAUAAUAGAAAGAAGGCCAAAAGCGAAGGCAAUUACCUGGGUUAUUACUGACACUGAGAACGAAAGCUUGGGUAGCGAACGGGAUU
rnacentral:rRNA from 1 species